UUUCCGGUUGAUCCUGCCGGACCAAACUGCUAUCAGAGUUCGACUAAGCCAUGCAAGUCUUUCCGUAAGGAAGGCGAAAUGCUGAGUAACACGUGGGCAAUCUGCCCUUAGGCAGGGGAUAACCUCGGGAAACUGAGGAUAAUACCCUAUAGGUUUAAAAUACUGGAAUGUAUUUAAACCAAAAGCUUCGGCGCCUAAGGAUGAGCCCGCGACCUAUCAGGUAGUUGGUAGUGUAAUGGACUACCAAGCCAAAGACGGGUAGGGGCAGUGAGAGCUGAAGCCCCCAGACGGGAACUGAGACACGGUCCCGAGCCCUACGGGGUGCAGCAGGCGCGAAACCUCCGCAAUGCACGCAAGUGUGACGGGGGGACUCUGAGUGUUUUCGAUUUUUUCGUAAACUUUUCUGAAGCGUAAAUAACUUUAGGAAUAAGAGCUGGGUAAGACGGGUGCCAGCCGCCGCGGUAAUACCCGCA
rnacentral:rRNA from 1 species